AUUGAACGCUGGCGGCAUGCCUUACACAUGCAAGUCGAACGGUAACAGGGAGCUUGCUCCGCUGACGAGUGGCGAACGGGUGAGUAAUGUAUCGGAACGUACCUUUUAGUGGGGGAUAACGUAGCGAAAGUUACGCUAAUACCGCAUAUUCUCUGAGAAGGAAAGCAGGGGACCUUCGGGCCUUGCGCUAAUAGAGCGGCUGAUAUCAGAUUAGCUAGUUGGUGAGGUAAAGGCUCACCAAGGCGACGAUCUGUAGCGGGUCUGAGAGGAUGAUCCGCCACACUGGAACUGAGACACGGUCCAGACUCCUACGGGAGGCAGCAGUGGGGAAUUUUGGACAAUGGGGGCAACCCUGAUCCAGCCAUGCCGCGUGAGUGAAGAAGGCCUUCGGGUUGUAAAGCUCUUUCGGCCGGGAAAAAAUCGCAUGGGCUAAUACCCUGUGUGGAUGAUGGUACCGGAAUAAGAAGCACCGGCUAACUACGUGCCAGCCGCCGCAGUAAAAC
rnacentral:rRNA from 1 species